GGAAAUAAUCAUUGAGGCAUUUGGAUUUUUUAAUUUGAGAUAUUCAACUGGUAAGUGUAAUGGAAAUAUUACAAAAUCUGAAAUAUUUCAGGUCCCAAGUAUUUGGGACCUGAUAAAGGAUAUUCAGCCUCUAGUUUAAAUUUUAGAAACUUAUUUUUUGUUUUUAUGGUCUUAGGAUAAUUAAAAGGGAGCCAGAAGAUGUUUGCACCUGGGAGUGUCAGAAGUGAUUUUAGAAUAUAUUAAUAACUUAUAUUGGAAUGGUCUUUGGUGGAGAUUAUAUUUUCACGUGGACAAACUUCAUUGGUUUAAAUAUCAGCAUUGCUGGGAGCCUGGUAUAUUCCUAUAUCACUUUCACUGAAGAGCAGCUGAGCAAACAGUCAGAGGCUAAUAACAAGCUGGACAUUAAGGGGAAAGGAGCAGUGUGACCAGAGGAUUGCUUCAUCUGAUACGUAGGCCUAAGUUUUUAAUCAACUCAGAACACUGGCAGUUCCUACAGAGACACUGAGGUGUCUUGAUUAUGGAGGAAAUAACCAUUCCUUUGCACUUGUACAAUCUGAGGAUUGAUUGCUGCCUUUUAAAAUUUUAUGAAGAGAGAAACUUAUAAUUGACUCUAUUUUAAAUAUGUUGUUUGAAUUAAUUUAUAUCAGACUGGAAAAGGUACUGGGCUUUUUAAUUUAUUUUUCUUAUAUGCCGACAGUGAAACAUCAGUGUUUUGAAAGUAUUUUAUUUCAUAAUUUGAUAUCCAGGUGUCCCUGAGAGCUGCAUAUGUAAUGUUUGCCAACUGGAGCUUCAUCAUUCAAAUUGUUGCUGCAUCUGGAGGCAGUUUAGCCUUUCCUCUGCUGGAAAUGCAGACGAAUAUGUGAAAUUUCUCUUCUUUGAAUCUUAUUUCUUAUGAUUGCAUUGUCUUCAUCAUAUCAUCAUUCCAUUUGCCAAGGAAAACAACUUUGGCACUAUAAAAAUAUGUGGGGCUUUGAAGUGUAUUGCUAUCUAUGUUGGCUUCCCUGACUUUCAUAGGAUGAGCAGAGUGCAUUCCUUGAAAACAUGUUCUUUUUUUGUUGUGUAGAAUGGGGAUAAUGAAGGGGGUGAGAAAGUAGGCCUUUUACUAAUUUUUCAUCUAUUUGACUUAUUGAUUCAACUAAAAUGUUUUAAGUAUAUGUGCCAGGCAUUGUGCUAAAUGCUGGGGAUACAGAGAUGUUUGCAGAGGUAGUUGAAACAUCUCACUCCUGCCAUAGUGACUCAGGUAAGGUUGAGAAUUUAGCUCUGUUAAUCUAUUCAGAAGAUGUCACUAAGAGUAAGUUGUUUCAGCACUCAAAAGCCGCAAAUCUGUAAAUUGGAUUAAGAACACCUGCCCUACCUACCCGGCAAUAGUGUGAAUCCAAAUGCUGCAAUGUGAGAUGAGGUACAAGUAAAGAGCUGUGUUUUGUAAACCAGUGCAGCUCAGCAUUGACUCCCUCUCUAAGUGAAAAUUGCAGACAGGCAAGUCUGUUUUCCCUUGCCACCUUCCUUUGGGUUUGGUUGCUCUUUGGAUGAAUAUGAUGAGGUCCCACAUUUCUGAAUUUAUUGGUUUGAGGGGAAAGGCUGGUUAGACGUCUUUGUAUUGUCAAUGGUUGGUUUUUCUCUGGCAGUGUCAGUGUUAGAGCUAUCAUCUUCCUUCUUAAAUGGCAUGAGCAAUGAGCAAACUUCCCUCCUUUCAACAUUCUCACCUACAUCAUGUGCCCCUUGGCUCACCUACUGAGCUUGCCAACUUCUCUCAAAACCAAUGCUGCAUUUUGGGAGAGCAGCUGUGAAUGGGCACUGCCUAAAUUGCCUCUUGGGGUAAUCUGGAGGGUGGAGGUGUUAACUCAAACAUAACCCUAUGACUUGACUCAGAGAUAUCCAUUGACUUUGAGGAUUAGUGUGUUUGCUCAGGCCAGUUGUACAGCCAGUGUGCAAGAGAUUUGGUACCUUUGCACUAAUGCACACACCAGUGUCUAUUUCAUUGGGUUUGGAAUCCACUGGACUCUGUUGACCUAAACAGUUAGGGUUUUGAUUUUUUUUGAUAUGCAAAUUUAUAUUGAGAUCAUUUUCAUAUUCCUGUCUUUUGGUUUGUCUUUACUAAAGCUUGGCUGGUGGUGCUGUGUCCCUAGAAUUAUCCCUGCAACCAACUCCCAAGUUACAAGCUUCAUUAAGAGCCUUAGACUCACUUUUUUCUAGCAUCUUCUGACCUGAGAAAAUUCCACUGGGAGUAAAGGAUAGUAUCUUGUGUCAUAUGGGUCUUACUCUCCCUAUUUUACCAAUGAGAAAACAAAACUCAGAGAAAGAUGACUUGCUAAUACAUCAAACCCAUGUCCUUUUUAUUGAACUAUGCUGCCAUUUAAUUAACCGCCCUUCCCCUCUGAGGGAGUAAGGAAACAGAUCCUGAGUUCACUUGAGCACUUUCAAAAAAGCAAGCAGUUGAUUGAAUUUGGUGUCAGAGAGGAGCAUACUUUGCAAAUCAGGAAGAGUGACAGCUUACCCUGUCCUGGAACCCUUAUCCCACUUCCAGGCUGACUUUAGUUGAUAAUGCACUUCUGGCUGUAAAUGUUGCCAACACUUCCUGGUUUUGCUUAGGUACAGUGAAAGGGCAUAGUGAGAGCUAUUUUUAGUGAUUCUGUUCUUUCUGUCAGCAACAUGAAGGAGGGACGUUUGAAUAAUUUUUGUUGUAGAAUAUUUCUUCAUGAAAGGCUUUUGGGUGUCUUUAACAGGUGUUGGGCUAGAGCCCCACCAGGAGUUGAACUGCCUCUUGGGGGUCAGGUUCCCUAGGAGAUCUGUCACCUCUUCAGGAGUAUUUGAGAACAUUGUGUAGUUACAGCUUCACUAAAUGCACGUGACAGGCUUCUGUGCCUUGGGAGCCCUGGCUUAUGCUGAAACUUCUGGCUGACCAGAGCAGUACAGCAACUUUGCCCUGUCUGUGUUCUGCUUCCUGGAUGCAUCCUUCAGCCACUAACCAGCAUUGCAAGAUGGAGCAGGGUGAACAAGCUGGAGACUGAAUAGUCUUUUGGAGUUUGCGUUUUGAUUAUUGCAGGCGUGUUACAAUAUACUGGUGAUUUACCUGGUACUGUGGCACCUCCCAGAAAGUCUGGUUUUUGCCCCAUGUUUGAUAUUUACUAGGCAGAAAUUCUUUGUCCUGUUAACUGCCUCCUGGGAGAAAAAGAGGCAAUACAGAGUUAAAUCCUUAAUUUGCCCACUGAGACAGAUGAGCUGUGGUAUUCCAAAAGACAAAUUCUAUGACUAGUGUCUCCUGUUCAAUGUAAGUGAGACCCUCUUUGGCCAAUCUGCUUCUAGUCAAGGCUAAAUGGAUUGGAAUAACCCUAGUUGGCCAGGCUACACAUUGCCAGCAUGUCCCGUUGAGUUUUAAUUGCCUCAUGUGGCUGUGGACUUUAUGAGUCAAUCAUUUGUAGGCUCCAGUUUGCACCUAGUUUUUUUUUUUAAAAAGUGCAUUUACACGCUUUUGGUAGUCCUGUUUUAUCAAGAAUCCAUGGAGGGUUUUGGUCAGUACAGCUGGUGCAGGAUCCUCACGGAGAAACAGUGGAGUUUCACAUUGAGUUGGUUUGAAAUGGCACCCCAGGACUUUGGGCCUGCCUUACUUGAUAGCCUCGUUCAGUGAGCAAAGACUUAGUGAGCAGCUCUUGUAUGCCAAGUAUUUUGCUAAGCUCUGGAAAAAAGAUAAACAAGACAUGGUUCUUGCUUUCAAGGAGUGUGUAAUUCUUUAGCCAGAUAUGGAAACCUGGACCCUGAGUGGGAGAAAGGAGACAGAUGAAAGGAGUCCGUGAUUUUGUAACCAAGAGCUGCCUGCAUGGUUAUGAGUAUCACUGAUUUUAGGGACGCCCCACAGAGCUAAAGCAUUUUUUUAAUCCGAGAGGACUUUUGUAACUCAUAUUAGUUAAUCUUCUAGCUCUGAGAUAGCAACACAGCUCUUAGAAUUCUGUAAGUAGCUUGAGGCCUCCUCCUCUACUGUACAUGUUCUUGCUUUCCCAAAAUUGUAAGUUUGGUUUUUCCUAUGAACAAGACUGUAAUUGAUUUUUCUCUCCCUGAGGAAAAAAGUUCGGAAUAAAUGAGACAUGGAUAUGAAACUACUUAGCACAAUGCCUGGUACAUAUUAGGCCCUCAGCAAAUGUGGCUACCGUGUCAUUAUUUCAUGGUGAGACUCAAGGCAAAACAAGAUUCUUAAUUUAUGCUCCGUAAAUGCUAGAGGCUUGGGCAAUACGGUCUGUCCUGAAAAACAGGACUCUGUGUCUCAUUGCCUCUAGAAUCCUUAGGUAGCAGUUUCUGUUCACUGUCUUUUCUUUUUUAAAAAUAUCUGCUGGACACAAUUACGGCCAUUACAUGAUGCAGGUGAUUCUACCUAUUUUUUAAAAAGAACAAAAUUUCUUUUAUAUUGUGACAGUACAUUUUAAUAAAGGAAAAUUAUUUUCUUCCCCCUACUCCCCCUCCUUUUUUUUAAAAAAAAAAAAAAAAAAGAAAGAAGGUCUUGCUCUGUCGCCAGCCAGGCUGGAGUGUAAUGGCGUAAUCAUAGCAGCUCACCACAGUCUCAAACUCCUAGGCUCAAGUGAUCCUCCUGCCUUAGCCUGCUAAGUAGCUACGACUAUAGGCAUGUGCCAUUACGCCUGGCUCGUUUCUUCCUUUUUUUUUUUUUUUCUGGUAAAGACAGGGUCUCACUCUGUUGCCAGACUGGUCUCAAACUCCUGGCCUCAAGUAACCCUUCUGUCUCAGCCUCCCAAAGUGCUGGGAUUACAGGUGUGUGCCACAUGUCCGGCCAGGAAAAUUAUUUUCUAUCUUAAAGAAACAUAGUUACAUUUUAGAAUGUCAAUUCAGUUAAAUCUUUCUCAGUUUUUACCUUUAGAUGGCUCCUGGAAAGGCCAGCGUUCCUUUUCCCCUCUCUGAAUUGAAAGCACUUGACCCCAUGCUGCCCCUGCUUCCAGGCCUGUCUCAGUUGUCAUAUAUUGUGAGUCCCUGGCACCAUUACUGUUUUCUAAGCCAGUCUUCUAGGUCUUACUUUCAGGAUGCUGCUUCAUGGCAUGAGGAUAUAGUUUACAGUGUUGUAGUUUUUUUUUUUUUAAAGCUUUGUUCUUUAAAAAUACUUUUUAAAAAGAAAUCUACUGGUUAGAUUUAUUGUCUCACAAAAAUGUUUUUAGAGAUUAUUUUUUUCACAAAUGUUUUCUUUCUCAUGCUGAUGAUCAACUGAUUUUUGUCUACAGGUGUUAGCUUCUCACAGUAUUUUUUCAUUUUAGAGUCUAUUUACCAAAUGACCAUUUUUAGUGUUAAAAGGUACUGAGGAAUUGAGGUAUGUAAAUCAGGUGACAUAAACAUGAAAAUUAUGUGCCUAAAUAUUUUUGUAAUGGUGUAAAAUAAAUACUUUUUCCUGAAAACAAGUAUUAAAAUUCCUUUGUAACUGCAUACAGA
rnacentral:lncRNA from 1 species